rnacentral:rRNA from 1 species
UUUCGCAAUGCCCGAAAGGGUGACGAAGCGACGCCGCGUGAGUGAGGAAGGCCUUCGGGUUGUAAAGCACUGCCAGGAGUUAAGAAAUAUAAGUGUGCUAAUACCACAUUUAUUUGACGAAGGCUCCAAAGGAAGCCACGGCUAACUCUGUGCCAGCAGCCGCGGUAAUACAGAGGUGGCAAGCGUUGUUCGGAAUUAUUGGGCGUAAAGAGCACGUAGGUGGGUUUGUAAGUCAGAUGUGAAAGCCUUCUGUUCAACGGAAGAAUUGCAUCUGAAACUGCGAGUCUUGAGUGUAGGAGGGGAGAAUGGAACUUCUGGUGGAGCGGUGAAAUGCGUAGAUAUCAGAAGGAACGCCGGCGGCGAAAGCGAUUCUCUGGCCUAUUACUGACACUCAGUGUGCGAAAGCUAGGGGAGCAAACGGGAUUAGAUACCCCGGUAGUCCUAGCCGUAAACGAUGGGCACUAAGUAGAGGGGUUUUA